CAGAACAUCACAGCUCAAAAUGUUCCCUAUAUUUAUCUGCAUAGGCCUCCCUCAGUCACAUGGAUUGGAAAACCUGGGAAACAAUUAAUAUAAGAGGUAAUUUGCUAUAGUCAAAGAAGCUGACUGACACUUGGCUUGAGGAAGGGGUAAGGAAGAGCCCAACAGGUUCUCCUUUAAGCAGAUCCUCGUUGUUUGGCUGUGGGAAAGGGAUCUGGGGGAAGAGAUCAUGGGUCUCCCUUACCAACAGAGGCCUGAAUUUCAGAGGGUGUGGUGGCGGCCUUCAUCUGUACUGCAGGGGGUCCUCCUCCAAAGAGAGCUCCAGGAUAUGACGGUGCAGUGGCGGCCUUCAGCUGCACAGCAGGGGGUCCUCCUCCCAAGAUAGCUCCAGGACAUGGUCUCCCUUGGACACAGGGAUUGGUAAACCUGGGAAACAAUCAGGAGAUCAGAGUGUGCACUGGCAGUCUUCAUGUGCACAGCAGGGGGUCCUCCUCCAAAAGCAGCUCCAAGACAUGGUCUCCUCAGAACACAAGAUUUGGAAAACCUGGGAAAAAUUCAAUGGAACAGGUAAUCCUCCAUAGGCAACGAAGCUAAAUGACACUUGGCUGGUGGAAAGGGGUAAGUGAAGCAGCACAGCAGGGGUUUCCCUCCCAAGCUAGAUCUUAGCCAUUGUGGUGGGGGUAGGAAGAGAUCUGGAGGGACAAGAGCAGGGGUCUCCUUACCAACACGGGCCUAAUUUGCAGAAGGUGCCUUGGCGGCCUUCAGUGGCACAUCAGAGGGUCCUCCUCCAAAGAGAGCUCCAGGACAUGGUGAGUCAUUUCCGUGCAGCCCUAAAUGCAGCCCUCCCUAAAAGCCCAACUCUAAAGCCAAUCAAGGGGAGACACUUAGGGAAAUACUGGGUCUCCUUCCUAUGGAAAAAGCA
rnacentral:lncRNA from 1 species